GAUGAACGCUGGCGGCGUGCCUAAUACAUGCAAGUCGAGCGAACAGACGAUGCUCUUGCUCCUUCCUCGUUAGCGGCAGACGGGUGAGUCACACGUAUGUCCCCUCCCUAUAAUACUGGGAUAUCUUCGGGACACCGGCUCUAACCCCGGAUAAUCUUUCGCACCGCAUUGUUCGAUAGUGAAAGAUGGCUUUUCUAUCACUUAUAGCUGCAUCUGCGCCGUAUUAGCUAGUUGGUAAGUUAACGGCUUACCAAGGCAACGAUACGUAGCCGAACUGAGAGACUGAUCGGCGACACUGGAACUGGGACGCGGUCAAGAGGCCUACGGGACGCAGCAGUAGGGAAUGGGCCGCAGUGGGGGAGAGCCUGACGGAAUAACGCGGAGUGAGUGAUGAAGGUCUUCGGAGCGUAAAACUGUGUUACUAGGGAAGAACAGACGUGGAAGUAAACGUGGAGGGCGUGACGGUACCUAAUCAGAAAGCCACGGCUAACUACGUG
rnacentral:rRNA from 1 species